UGGCUCCAAAACUCGAUUUGUCGAAGGCGUUCCUAAACGACAUGGUAAAACGACUGGGAAUGAGUCCGCAGUCCGCUGACCUAUCUGCUCAAAAAAAGUUAAUCGCAACGCAACAAAAUGUAUGAAAGUCUACAGAAAAUUUCGAGAAAUUUGCCUUUAGUACAAAGGCAAGCUCAAAGGAGAUAUCAAUGGACAGGGCCUAACUAUUCCAAGGGUGUAUUCAUUAUCUCUCUGUCCGCGGUUGUUGGAGCAGUUUUAACCUCGUCCUUUAUGAAGUAUUGGCAGUUUAGAAGUGAAUAUGAACCACCAACUGAUUCAAGAGAAUCUCAAACAAGAUGAAGGAUGCCCGAGCUGAUGUGGAUAAACAUUGUGUUAUCUGUCCUGCAAAAAAAAGUACAUUUUGUACAGACAGUAAUUCAGCCAUUGUGGAGAGGAAAAAUAGAGUGAACCACAUUCUGUAGCAAAGAUGAUUGAUAAUUUCAUUAUCAUCUUUUGUCAAGAAACUAGGAUUAAGUCAUUAAAUACCUCAUCUGCUGCUAAGUCAGUUUGAUACUGGGACAUGCAAUUUUUAGUUCUUUGAACUAAAUUUGCUUAACUAAUAUCUUACUGAAGGAAAAGAUAGGUGACGUGUGAUGUAAACUUUCUCUUGAGGAGACUUCAACAUAAUAAAGAAUAUUUCUGUUAAAAAAUAA